rnacentral:rRNA from 1 species
AAAUAAUAUAAUUUAAUUUAAUUAGUAUAAAUUAAUUUAUAAUUAAAAUUUUAAUUUAAAAUUUAUUAGGUGGAAUUUUUAAAUUUUUAAUAAAGAUUUAUAAUUUUUAAUAAAGUUAAGAAAUUUAAAUUAUAAACUAGGAUUAGAUACCCUAUUAUUUUAAAUGUAUUUAAAAAUGCUAAAUUAGUAUUAGUUAUGUUAUUGAAAAUUAAAGAUUUUGGCGGUAUUUUAGUCUAUUCAGAGGAACCUGUUCUAUAAUUGAUGAUCCACGAUUUAAUUUACUUUUUUUAUUAGUUUGUAUAUCGUCGUAAUUUGAAUAUUUUUUAAGAAUAAUAAUAUUCAAGAUUUUUAAAAAGAAAAUAGAUCAGAUCAAGGUGCAGUUUAUAAGAAAGAAGAAAUGGGUUACAAUAAAAUUAUUUUUAGGAUUAUUAUUUUUAAAAUAAUAUGAAUUUGGAUUUGAAGGUAAAUUUAAUUAAUUUAUUAAAUUGAUUUUAGCUCUAAAAU